AUAAACAAUAAAUAAGAACAUCAGUAGAAAAUCCUUACAAAGAUUUAAAAAUCAUAUUUCUUCUAGCUAUUCUGGAAUUAGUUUCUACUUGGGAAACAAUGCCAGUGUUUUUAACCUAUGGUCUAAUUAAUUUUUAUCAUUAAACUGAUUUAUUUCUUCAUUUCUACUUUUUCAUGAUUGGCCUUUGGUAUUUUUGUAAGGGGAUUUCAAUUUUUUUAAAUUUUUGACCUAUGGUCUACACGUGCCUAGCCUUUGGUUCCCCAUUUUGCAUCUUGAAUAGUCCACGUGCCUAGCCUUUGGUUCCACAUUUUUAAUAUUAAACAGUCCACGUGCCAUGGCUAUGUUUCCACAUUUUGCAAUCUUUGCUAGACAUACUCACUUCACCUAUUUUAUACCUCUCUAAUUUCACCUAAGCUGUUAUUAUGACAGCCUAUAUUCAAGAACAUGUUUUAAGGUCAAGGAAAGAGCAAUAUGAUCUUUAGAUUUUGAGAUAUAGCCAUCGACAUAUCUAUAUAUUUUAUGAUCUGAAGCUUCUUUCCAGAAUUUCAUCCAUGGUCACACAAAGAAAUCUUGUUUGGUAAAUUAGUCUGAGUGUAGUAACCCCUGGAUAAUGCAGCAGACAUUACUCAGCAAAACCUUAAGGAAAACCUAUCAUUAUGUAAAUUCUGCGUUUUCGUUUCCAUUAAAUGGAAACCCUAGUAAACAAAAAAAAAGGAGAGAAAAAUGUGCCUUGCUUAUCCUUCCACAUUUUGCAUACAUGCCUACGUCCACGCAAGGAGAUUGUAGAGGGAUUGAGAGUUUUGUUUGUGAAAAAUUAUAUUGCUGCAUAGAACGAGAAAAAGUGCACCUUGCUUCCUGGGUGGAAAGUCCCCAUUGUCAAUAAUCAUUGACAGAUGUCUGUAGAUGACAUGAACGCUCACUGCCUGUGACCAGAAGGGCACAAAUGGAAGCACAAACUUCUUAGCAACAUCAAAAGUCCAUGGAAGAAAUGAGCUGCCAAUAACACACGAAACUGAAGGAUUUACUUUCAACGCUUACUUCUCCACUGGAUCGGCCUGUGAGAGAAAAGAAUCCUGUAAAAACCAUUGAUCCUUCCACCAUUAGGGAUAGCCCCAGAGAAUUUGUCAUUGAACAGGGCAAAUACACACAGCUUAAGAACAUUCCAAAUGUGCCAUAUAAACUAUCCAAGCUCACCAGAGGUGAUGAAAUGCUGGCAAUCAUUUGCAAUCUUCUUUAUGGAAGGCACGGAAAGGCUUAUCAUUUUAAGAGGAAUGUUUUGCAGGUUUCAGGGUUUGUUUGGGGUGAAGAAGAGGAGAAUAAACUCAAGGGAAAAUUGAAAUUGAAGGAUAAGCUCCAGAAGAUGAAGAAAGAUGAUUUGUGGAGGGUUUGUCACGCAAUUGAACUAGACAAACUCUUACCAGAAAAAUGCCAAGGGUUAUAAUGUUAACUUCACAUGCUUUUCCCCGCUCCAUGCCAUUUGAAUUUUCAUUA